UGUGCAAUACUCAAGGGAAUAACAAAACGUCGGACAUUAAUUAGAAAACACAGACCAAUUUCAAAAUUCUCUUGAAAGCAAGUGCGACCACAAAAAGAGUUUCUGGAUCAGUGUUUUGACUUCCACAAGUUAGUGUUGUCCCUCGGGGAUUCGUCGUUACAGCUUAUCAAGACUUUGUGUUAAUUUCGAGUCAGUUGGCACUCGUCCUUCGUUCGGUCCUACACAAAUGGAGCCCGAGGAGCCCAAACGAGAUGCAUGCGAGAAGGCUCCAGUCACAGAUGAGGAUUGAGAAUUACAACUGCUCCCUGGAGCGACGCUGUUGGUGCUUAAAGAAAUCUUCACAUGGGAUCUCGUGAGGGAAAGGUCGACCUUCAAGGUCAGA